ensembl:lncRNA
GUUUCGCAAGGCUGUCACUGGACGAGUAUUGUUUGAGGGCUGCAGCUAACGACAGAAUGGACAUCAACAACAACCCACUAACAGCCUAUCUUCUGUUUUUGUUGCACAUUGUUUGCGUCAUAUUCAGCUUUCAAGUUUCUAGAAUCUAUACCAGUAACUCCACUAACUUCUAGUAGUAGACCAAAUGUAAAUGUGUGAUCGUGGAGCCCUAACCAGGCUUUAACUCUGGCUACUGAUCCCAGGGUUACGGUCAGGGUUAGCUAACCCUGACCCUAACCAGGCUUUAACUCUGGCUACUGAUCCCAGGGUUAGGGUCAGGGUUAGCUAACCCUGACCCUAACCAGGCUUUAACUCUGGCUACUGAUCCCAGGGUUAGGGUCAGGGUUAGCUAACCCUGACCCUAACCAGGCCUUAACUCUGGCUACUGAUCCCAGGGUUACGGUCAGGGUUAGCUAACCCUGACCCUGACCCUAACCAGGCUUUAACUCUGGCUACUGAUCCCAGGGUUAGGGUCAGGGUUAGCUAACCCUAACCCUGACCCUAACCAGGCCUUAACUCUGGCUACUGAUCCCAGGGUUACGGUCAGGGUUAGCUAACCCUAACCCUGACCCUAACCAGGCUUUAACUCUGGCUACUGAUCCCAGAGUUAGGGUCAGGGUUAGCUAAACCUUGACCAUAACCAGGCCUUAACUCUGGCUACUGAUCCCAGGGUUACGGUCAGGGUUAGCUAACCCUGACCCUGACC